rnacentral:rRNA from 1 species
UACGGAGGUUGCAAGCGAUGUUCGGAAUUAUUGGGCGUAAAGCGCGUGUAGGCGGUCUUUUAAGUCUGAUGUGAAAGCCCCGGGCUCAACCUGGGAAGUGCAUUGGAAACUGGGGGACUUGAGUACGGGAGAGGGUAGUGGAAUUCCUAGUGUAGGAGUGAAAUCCGUAGAUAUUAGGAGGAACACAGGUGGCGAAGGCGGCUACCUGGACCGAUACUGACGCUGAGACGCGAAAGCGUGGGGAGCAAACAGG